UACGAAGGGGGCUAGCGUUGUUCGGAAUUACUGGGCGUAAAGGGCGCGUCGGCGGUUUGUUAAGUUGGAUGUGAAAACUCUGGGCUCAACCCAGAGCCUGCAUCCAAUACUGACAGGCUAGAGUUCUGGAGGGGAUAGCGGAAUUCCUGGUGUAGCGGUGAAAUGCGUAGAUAUCAGGAGGAACACCGGUGGCGAAGGCGGCUAUCUGGACAGAGUCUGACGCUGAGGCGCGAAAGCUAGGGGAGCAAACAGG
rnacentral:rRNA from 1 species